rnacentral:lncRNA from 1 species
UACUUCGGUAACAAACAGAAAGAGGCCCAACCGAUGCCGAAAUCCAAAGAAAAAUAGACACUCGACACAGAAUAAAACCAUGGCCUGGACCUACUACCUUCUUCAGACUUCCUGAGACCAACAUUACAGAUCACCGUUUGACCCUAUUCUGCUGUGACAUCAUUUCUUCAUCAAAGGACACCUGUGCUUUUGUGAUAUGUUUAUGUUCUAGUCUGCUCCUCAAAUUUUCAGGACCACAAGAUGCAUUUUGUCUGUUUACUCUGUAUGAUCCAAUGGUUGUAAGUUGAUUUGCACUAAUUAAACCCACAAAAGGCUG